UACGUAGGGGGCAAGCGUUGUCCGGAUUUAUUGGGCGUAAAGAGCGUGUAGGCGGCCAAGCAGGUCCGCUGUGAAAACUCGAGGCUCAACCUCGAGACGUCGGUGGAAACCGUUUGGCUAGAGUCCGGAAGAGGAGAGUGGAAUUCCCGGUGUAGUGGUGAUAUGCGUAGAUAUCGGGAGGAACACCUGUGGCGAAGGCGGCUUUCUGGGCCCUACCUGACGCUGAGACGCGAAAGCGUGGGGAGCGAACCGG
rnacentral:rRNA from 1 species